UACGGAGGGGGCUAGCGUUAUUCGGAAUUAUUGGGCGUAAAGGGCGUGUAGGCGGCCGCGUAUGUCCCAUGUGAAAGCCCUCGGCUCAACCGGGGAACUGCAUGGGAAACGGCACGGCUUGAGUCCGGAAGAGGCGAGUGGAAUUCCUGGUGUAGCGGUGAAAUGCGCAGAUAUCAGGAGGAACACCUAUUGCGAAGGCAGCUCGCUGGGACGUAACUGACGCUGAGACGCGAAAGCGUGGGGAGCAAACAGG
rnacentral:rRNA from 1 species